rfam:Oscillatoriales cyanobacterium TSR001 contig_30, whole genome shotgun sequence.
CCUGGUGUCUAUGACGCGAUGGCUCCACUCCGAUACCAUCCCGAACUCGGUUGUUAAAUGUUGCGGUGGCGAAGAUACUUGGUGGGUAACUGCCUGGGAAAAUAGCUCGAUGCCAGGG